AACAUCUCAAAUCUCUCUUCGCUUGCGUCGAGAGAAUUGGAUUUGAGCGAUCCCGACUCCUUCAUCAGAAAGAGGAGGGUCGCUUGAAAUGCAGGUGCAGCUGGACAUUCUUCUGAGCUAAAAGCAUAUCUAUUUAGUCCCGUCAAACGGAUUAUUACUUUUGCUUCAGCUAAUAUAAAGGUUGAAUGAACUACCAACGCUGAUUGCAGGAAAACUUGUUCGUUUAUUCGAACUUGUAA
rnacentral:misc_RNA from 1 species